AGAAUCAACGCUGGCGGCGUGCCUAACACAUGCAAGUCGAACGAGAAAGGGGAGCAAUCCCUGAGUAAAGUGGCGCACGGGUGAGUAACACGUGACUAACCUACCCUGGAGUGGGGGAUAACUGAGGGAAACCUUAGCUAAUACCGCAUAACACCUACGGGUCAAAGGAGCAAUUCGCUUUGGGAGGGGGUCGCGGCCGAUUAGUUAGUUGGCGGGGUAAUGGCCCACCAAGACAGUGAUCUGUAU
rnacentral:rRNA from 1 species